GAUGAACGCUAGCUACAGGCUUAACACAUGCAAGUCGAGGGGCAGCAUGGACAUAGCUUGCUAUGUUUGAUGGCGACCGGCGCACGGGUGCGUAUCACGUAUCCAAUCUGCCCGUUACUCGGGGAUAGCCUUCUGAAAGGAAGAUUAAUACCCGAUGGCAUGUAUUUCCGGCAUCGGAGAUACAUUAAAGAUUUAUCGGUAACGGCUGAGGAUGCGUACGAUUAGCUUGUUGGCGGGGUAACGGCCCACCAAGGCAACGAUCGUUAGGGGUUCUGAGAGGAAGGUCCCCCACACUGGAACUGAGACACGGUCCAGACUCCUACGGGAGGCAGCAGUGAGGAAUAUUGGUCAAUGGUCGGAAGACUGAACCAGCCAAGUAGCGUGAAGGAUGACUGCCCUACGGGUUGUAAACUUCUUUUGUUUGGGAAUAAAAGACGCUACGUGUAGCGUUCUGCAUGUACCUUACGAAUAAGCAUCGGCUAAUUCCGUGCCAGCCGCCGCAGUAAUAC
rnacentral:rRNA from 1 species